rnacentral:tRNA from 1 species
GUCCUCAUAGCUUAAUACUCUAAAGCAUAGCACUGAAGAUGCUAAGAUGGCUGCCACACUGCACCUGAGGACA